rnacentral:ncRNA from 2 species
AAAGUCGUAACAAGGUU